AUUUAUCUUUACAUGAAAAGUGACUAAAUUUUAAUUACGUUUGAAACUGCGGCUAUUUUUCAAUUACCACUUGUUAAUCCGGCUAUUUUGAAUUUCACCUGGUAAAAGGCCGUUGACUAAAACUGUGAGAUUUAAUUAUAUGGGCUCAAACUAGUGGCCCAGGUUCUAAAGCUCAUGUGAGAAGGGGCCAGCGUGUAAACUGGAGCUAACUGGGCCGCGAGAUAUUGGCCCAGUCGGGUGGGGCAAGGAAUUAUUCAUUCUUGAGCGUGAUUUGCGAAUGGGCUUUUCCAGUUGAGAGAGCAGCCCACUACCAUUCAACAUGCUCAAUCACAGAUGCCCAAAAGAUUAAAGUUAACAAGUUUAAGAUAACAAGAUCUGACUAUUAAUUAAAUUUACAUAGCUACACAACAUAAACAACUAAAAACAUCAUGAAUUUAUUGGAAUGAUUAAUUUACAUAGCCAGGCGAAAUAAACAAUUAAGAACACGAUCAAUUUAUCUGAACAAUGUUGAACUAGUUAUGACUGUUGCUAGUUUGGCUUGAACCAGCUAAUACAAAAAAAAUCAAAUCCCUAAAAGUCUCUUAACAAUACACAAGGAAUUACUUGGAUUGUCUAACACUUGAAUCAACAAUUCAAAAUACCAGAAUCCAAUAUACUUCAACAGACGAACAAACUCCAUAUCUUUGCUAAUUCAUUAAGUUAGUAGGCUGUGAAUUGUGAACUCCUCUCCUCUAGUUGCUCAACAAGUUUCAAGCUCAUGCAGAGAUAUAUUAAGCAAAGACGAAACUUAAAUUAACAGAGACUCCUCUCCUCUAGUUGCUCAACAAGUUUCAAGCUCAUGCAGAGAUAUAUUAAUCAAAGACGAAACUUAAAUUAACAGAGACUUUAAAUCACUUUCAUGAGUACAGUUUCAGUCAAUAGGAACAAUAUUCUCAACAAACUACUCCACAAUUAUUAUACUAGACCAAUUCGAAGCAGCACAUCCAAACAACAAUCACAAAUAAACCAAAAUAAUCAUGAUUUCACAUUAUGCUAAAAUCAGAAAAAUACAGAUACAAAGAAAACAUACCUAGUUAUGCUAGGAUUGAGUUUAGAAGCAGAAGAAAGCCAAAUAAAACCAAGUGGACAGAUUUGAGUUCAGCAAAGGAUCACAGCAACAAGCGCAGCAGUUUUACCCCCAGAAAUCCAAAACAAAUGGAAGCCAGCAGCAAACAGACGAAAACAAUUGCAGAAUUCCUUCUCUUUUACUACUCUUUCGUGAGAAUUAGAAAGAGAGUACGAGAGAGAGUGAGUGAAUAGAGGGAAUGAGAUGUGGGUGAAUAUCUGCGUGAGUGUGAAUGAUAGUCGGUGUGCUGACGUGUGAGGGGAGAGAACUAUUUUAUAACAGAAUGCAGCAAUUUCUGUUAUUUCUGUUUCUUUUUUACUCCCCCCGUUUCUGUUUUUUACUUGCUCACCCCCGACCCCUUCACUUUCCUAUUGCAAAUUAGUCCUCAGAUCCCUUUCUAGAAGCUUCAAGUCAAUUGCAUGACAUGUUUUUCUCAAUUUUAAAUCUUCUGCAUACCCCUAAAAGUCUUGAUAUUCACCCUAAGGUCCCAACUUUAAACUGUUGGGCCUAUCUUCCUCACACAAUACAGGCCCAAUUUUAGACUAAAAUGAACCGCCUGAAUCAAAGCUCAUGCUUAAUUGAAAUCAUCAAACAUCAAUUAAUGAUUAAACAAAGGAAAUUUUACCACCUAUAGAAUAGGUUAGUACCCUAUUUAUAUUCUAUAAAUACCCUUUUAAAAUAUUACAUUCUAUAAAUACCCUUUUUAGUUUAUAGCAAAAAAUCUAAAUUUAGUUCCAUCCUAAAAUUAAGGCUUAAUAUAUGCUACAAAAUAUUUUUCUAAUCUCAUUUUUUUUAUUUUCUCUCACCUAAUUUGCGUAUAUCUCCUCUCAUCAGCUUUUCUCUCUCUUCUUCAAUACACUUUUCCCUCUUCUCCCACAAACACACGUUCCAUACACUUCCAAAACCCUCCUCCGCCAUUAUCGCCCCAAAGGAUAUUCUUCUUCGCAAGCUUCACAGUUGUAUUUUGGAAAUUUUCUCCCCGUAGGAUUCUUUGAGUUUUCUCUCUAAUGUCGGAUGCAACGCCACUCAACAGACUACCCAGAGGUUUAUCAGCAUCCAAAGUUGAUGAAAGAAGAAGUAAAUUACACAAUGACAAGUUGAAAGAAGUCCAAGUUGAUGAAGCUUCAAAAGAAACCAAAAAUCAAGUUGGCUCAAAGAGGAAAAAACCUAUGAAAGAUUCAAGAAACCAAAAGGCAAUUGGUAUUUGUUACAUGUAUUCUGUUGUAUUCAUAU